CUCUUUUUGAAUAUAAUUUAAAGUCGGGCCUGCCCACUGAAAUUUGAAGGGCCGCAGUAUUUUGACUGUGCAAAGGUAGCAUAAUCAUUAGUUUUUUAAUUGAAAGCUUGUAUGAAUGGUUUGAUGAGAAAAUUUCUGUUUCAAUUUUAAUUUAUAGAAUUUUAUUUUUAAGUAAAAAAGCUUAAAUUUAAUUUAAAGACGAGAAGACCCUAUAGAGUUUUACUUAUAAUAAAAUUGUAAAUUUAAGAAUUUUAUAUUUUAAAUUUUAUAAAAGUUUUGUUGGGGUGACAAAAAAAUUAAAGUAACUUUUUUUAAAUAUUAACAAUGAUUAUUGAUUAUUUGAUCCAUUGAAGUGAUUAGAAGAUUAAAUUACCUUAGGGAUAACAGCGUAAUUUUUUUUGAGAGUUCUUAUUUAAAAAAGAGAUUGCGACCUCGAUGUUGGAUUAAAAUUUAUUUUUGGUGUAGAAGCUAAAAAAUUAGGUCUGUUCGACCUUUAAAAUUUUACAUGAUCUGAGUUUAAACCGGUGUGAGCCAGGUUGGUUUCUAUCUUAAAUUUAUUUAAUAUUUUAGUACGAAAGGAUCAAAUAUUGUAUUAAUAAUAUUUAUUAAAGAAUUUUAUUUUGGCAGAUUAGUGCAAAGGAUUUAGAAUCUUUUUAUGUAUUUAUAUACAGAUAAAAAUAGAUUUAAUUUUGAUCAUUUUAAAUUUUUUCAUUUUAUUAGUUGGGGUUUUAGUAUGUUUAGCUUUUUUAACUUUAUUAUAACGUAAAUUAUU
rnacentral:rRNA from 1 species